GCCCCGGUGGUGUAGACCGGACAAUCAUGUCGGCCUUAUCGGUUGCGGUGUUGCGCGCCGAGGCCAAUCGAGCCGGCGACGCGGGUUCAAAUCCCGCCCGGGGCA
rnacentral:tRNA from 1 species